AUGUCGGCCACUGCAUCGUCGCCGUUGGAUCACUCUGGAAUUUUUGCUCAGUUUGUGCAAGUGUCCAAGUCGUAUCGUUAUACACACACAUCCAACAAAAUUAAACCCAAUAAGGGUCGCGCUAAUGGCGCCCCCUCGCUCGUUCCACAUCAUCACAGAUACGACAAAAUAAACACGUUGGCGAUUGGGUGGGAGAGGAAAAAGGAAAUCGGAGGGGUCACUCUAGAAUCUACUAUUUCAUUUUCUCUUCCUGGCUUCCUACCCCACGCAACCUUCUCUUCUCUCCUCUCCUCCUCUCCCCCAAAAACCGCCGCCGCCGCCUGCUACUCAACCGCUGCUUCCGCUACGCCCCGCCAUCUCCGCUCUGCUCUGCCCGUGGCGGCGCCUGUGACGUGCCGAUAUGGCGGCGCCGCGGCCGGUUCCGAUCUGGAGAACCAGCGGGCGGUGGUGCAUGGUCUGGGCGACGCCAAACUGCGCGGCUCCGAUUCUGCAUUGACGCCUCCUUCCUCUGUCGCCCAGAUACAAGGCGGCUCUCUCCUAGCCAACCUCCAGCCACGCCUCUUCCUCUCCUCUUUGACCGGCUCUCUUCUCCUCUGGAGAAGGUCUUCAUUUCAGGUUGGGGAUGGAGGGCGGUCACCGACAGACUAUCAGAUCUCUAGGAAGUGGUACCGGGUGGUGAUGUCAGGGGGCCAAGGCCAGCUGCUGAUCGUUUUCAACCCGCAUGUGUCAACCAAGCCCAACCGGAGAGCAACACAAACUUAUAUCAGGGCUUGGACCCUCUCUUCCCAAAAGACAAGCAUGCUGGCGCGAUUGGGCCUGGAUGUCACGAAGUCCUUGCUAGAACCCAUCCCUCUUGUCUCCUACUCACGUGAUGUGGUUCUGCUUUUGGACAGAGUCAUGGGCCAGUUGAUGCGAUUGGGCCUAGAUGUGAUGAGUUGUUCCAUCUCUGAUAGAAAACUAUUGGCUAAAGUCGUGGGCCAGUUGGUGCGGUUGGGCCUAGAUGUGAUGAGUUCUUCCAUCUCUGAGAGAAAUCUAUUGGCUAAGGGAGGCUAUUCUACACAUGGGAAGCCACUUCUCAAGUGUUCAGCAUUCAGAAGCUUGGGCCAGACCGAGAGGACCGGCGGUGAGGUGGUGACCACGGCAGCGGCGACAGAUGACUCCGGCGAGCUCCUGGAUACGGUGAAGACAACUGCAUGGUCGAGAUCGGCAACGGUUCACAGAUGGCAGCGACGAGACACGGUGGCACCGGCCAGGGCGCAUCUUUCUGCGGUGGCGUCCAGUUCGGCGCCUUCGGGCAGCCGUGCUUGUUGGGACUUCAUAUGGAAGAGUGACGCUCCUCCAACGGUGAAGCACUUCACGUGGCGCUUGUUGAAUGAUGCUUUACCCACAUGGCAGAGGAAACACCGUAUUGGACUGGAAACCACAGGUAUGUGCCAGUUCGGGCGUGACUUGUUUGUGGCUAUGGCUAGGGUGUGGAGGCUCCCGGAUAUCACAUCAAUACUUAACAACAGGAAAGAAUGGUUGCUACACGUCCUGGACCCUCUGACUAACCUUGAACGAACAAUGGUACUAAUGAUUUUCUGGAGGAGUUGGUUUGUCCGGAACGAGUUAGUUCAUGCUAAGCCUGCCCCGCCUAUGGAAGUCUCUGUAAGGUUUCUGCAAAGCUAUCUGGUGUCCUUGGUGGGUAUUAAGCAGAAUCCACAUGCUGACCCAGCCAAAGGCAAAACUUAUAUUGAAUGGAAGGAUACAGCGAGAAAGGGAAGAAGCGUUGUUGAGCAGGUCGAAAGGAGCUGGAUUGCGCCGGAGCCGGGGUGGUGCAAAUUAAAUACGGAUGGAUCUUUUGUUGCAUCAGACCAAGCGGGUGCGGGCAUGAUUUUACGUGAUCAUCGAGGGGCUAUCAAUUUCUCGGCAUGCAGGGUGCUGUUUUUGUGCAGAGACUCCCUCGAGGCGGAGUUGUGCGCGUGCAUGGAAGGCUUGUCCCUUGCCCUGCAGAGAAGUGAUUUGCCGAUUGUGGUGGAGAUGGAUUCUCUCGAAGCGGUCUCUCUCAUAUCAAGCUUGGAUACAUAUCGCUCAGUUUACUCCUCUAUUGUUAGAGAGAUUAAGCACUUAAUGGGUUUAAGGAAGACUUGUAUUUCUCUUAUAGUUAGAUCUCAAAAUAAAGCUAGUGAUUGCCUAGCUAAGUUUGCUAGAACCCAAGGCAGGACUUUGACUUGGUUAGGAACUGGUCCCGAUGAAGUAGUGGAAAUAUCAUCCGACGACAUAUGGCGUGCGUGCGUGUGUGCGCCGCCGCUCGCCGUGCGUGCGUGUGCAGCUGCUGACUACGUGGACGUGGACGCCACGGACGUGGAGCCACUCGCUGAGCGGGCUGUUCUCGGCGAACUAGAACACCAUGUAUGUGUAGCCGCCGUGCAUGGUGUGAUGCAAUCAUGCAAGACCGAACAGGUGAACGAGGCUCGACUGGAUGCUCACCUCGACGCAGCGCCCACGUCGCCGGCGGCAGUUAUCGAUCCGACCGAUCCGACCGAGGUGCUGAUGGGCCUACUUUUACAAUCCGGACCGACCAAGUUUGCUAGCAAGCCCGGACUGAUCGGUCCAGUCCUGUGCGGGCCACGAGCGGGCCAAAAAGCCCGCUCGCUGCAUACACCCUGGUACUUACCCAUGGCUGCCUUUUUCAUAUCACUGUCAGUAGAGCCCCAGAACGUGAAGUGCAUUUAG
rnacentral:rRNA from 1 species